UACAAGCAAAUAAUCAAACUUUUAACAACGGAUCUCUUGGUUCUGGCAUCGAUGAAGAACGCAGCGAAAUGCGAUAAGUAAUGUGAAUUGCAGAAUUCAGUGAAUCAUCGAUUCUUUGAACGCACAUUGCGCCCGCCAGCAUUCUGGCGGGCAUGCCUGUUCGAGCGUCAUUUCAACCC
rnacentral:rRNA from 1 species